UACAGAGGGUGCGAGCGUUAAUCGGAAUUACUGGGCGUAAAGCGCGCGUAGGCGGUUGGACAAGUCGAGUGUGAAAUCCCCGGGCUCAACCUGGGAGCUGCAUUCGAAACUGUUCGGCUAGAGUAUGGGAGAGGGAAGUGGAAUUCCAGGUGUAGCGGUGAAAUGCGUAGAUAUCGAGAGGAACACCUGCGGCGAAGGCGGGUUGCUGGGCCGACACUGACGCUGAUGCGCGAAAAGCCAGGGGAGCGAACGGGG
rnacentral:rRNA from 1 species